UGUUCAGUUACUCUUCUAAGAUACUUCUAUGCUUUCACUUUUGACUUUUGUAAUAAUUAUUUUUGUACCCCAGUUAGUACAGAUUGUAGAAUUUUUGCUGCAUUUAUAUAGCACUUUACUUUGUCUUAGCAGUUAAUAAUUCAUUUGAUGUACAUGGUGUUUUCCCUCUAUACUUUGUCCACUGUCGAAUUCAGAUGUUUGUACAUGUAUUAGCAAUGUGGCCAGUAGAAUUUUCUCUCUUGUUUUAAGGGUUUGAAAUCUUUUAUGCUCACCUGAUUGCUCAGGUGAGCUUUUGUGACAGGUCUUUUUCCGUCGUCCGUCCGUGGUCCGUCAGUUAACAAUUGUUUCGUAAACACUCUAGAGGGCACAUUUCUUUUCCUAUCUUCAUGAAACUUGGUCAGAAGCUUUGUCCCAAUGAUAUCUCGGUUGAUUUCGAAACUGGGUCAUGCCGGGUCAAAAACUAGGUCACUAGGUCAAAAAAAAGAAUAACCUUGUAAACACUAUAGAAGUAACAUUUCAUGCCCAAUCUUCAUGCAACUUUGUCAAAAUGUUUGUCUUAAUGAUAUGAUGGUUGAGUUCAAAAGUGGUUCUGGUCCGUUAAAAACAUGGCCGCCAGUGGGCGGGGCAGUUUUCAGUAUUUGGCUAUAGAGAUACCUUGUAAACACUCUAGAGGCCACAUUUUUUAUCGGAUCAUCAUGAAACUUGGUCAGAACAUUUGUCCCAAUGAUAUCUCGAUCAAGUUCGAAACUGGGUCAUGCUGAGUAAAAAACUAUGUCACUUGGUCAAAAAAAAGAAAAACCUUGUAAACACUGUAGAAGUCACAUUACAUGCCCAAUCUUCAUGUAACUUUGUCAAAAUGUUUGUCUUAAUGAUAUGUUGGUUGAGUUCAAAAGUGGUUCUGGUCCGUUGAAAAACAUGGCUGCCAGUGGGCGGAGUAGUUUUCCUCAUUAAGAACAAAAUAUGAUGGUUACAUAAUGGUUAAGUCUUUAAGAUCUCUGAUCACCAUGGUUACAAGGUGAAGCUGAUAUUGGGCAGGGUGGAAAGCUGCACCAGUCUGGAAUUAUUUUCAUAACAUAUGUUAAAUUCAAAGAUUGGAAAUAACCACUUUAACACUUGUAAUAAAUGCCUUUAAGCAUGGGGGGGGGGGAUAAAAAAAAAGGAACAGGUUGAAGCAUUUUGCUCUAUAUCUUUCCAUUUUCAGUAUAAUUUAUGUAUUUAUUUUAUUUUGUGUGAAUUAUUUCUUUUAUGGACAUGUUCACCGGAAGUAUUGUGUCUGAAAAUAUGAUGUGAAGAUUUAAUGUUUGUAAAUAUGUGCUUAAAAAAUCACUCUUCUUUCAUACAUGUAUGCAUAGCAUAGAGUUGAAAUUUGAAUGACUUAUUUCACUGACACAGUGCCCAUAAUUGCAUCUGGUAUGAAACUGAAGUAAAUAAUACUGGAACGUAAAACAUACAAGUGUGCUAUGUUAAUGGCUUACUAAAUAAUGUAUAUAAAUAUAUGUUUGCAUGUAUUUAAAAAAAAAAACUUGUAUAAUUUUUAUGUAUGUUUGUUUGUCAUUUUUAGGAAGCUUCAUAUAUAAGUGAUAUUUUUAUCUUUUUAACUGUCAUCUGUUUUUAACUCUGGAAACUUUGGGCAUUUGUGGCAUUUGUAAUUACAAAUACAUGUAUAUGAGGACUACAUUUUUCGAUUUUUUACUAACUUGUUUAAAAGCAUAUUCUGCGGAUUAUACAGUGUCCUAACAUGUCUUGUGGGGGCAUCAAUGUCUGUGAAACAUUUCUUGUUAUCCCAAUAUUUUAAGCAAACAAGUUUUCAUUUGAAUGAUAAAUAUAUAAUCAUCAUUGUUCUUUCUUUCCUCACUUGUUUGAUUUUUUUUCAACCCUGUUUACAAUUUAGUUUUUUCACACUGCAUAGCAGUAUUUAUAAUACUGUUGUUUGCCUUUGGCAAUAAAACAUUUUGUUGAAUAUACAAGACUGUGUGGUUUUUUUUUGGACUGAUACUUUUAUAUUUUGUACAAAGAGUUUUGUUAUCACUUGAAAGGAUGUAAAGAGUAUUACAUAAUAGCUCUCCCUGCAUUUCUGAUUUUUUUGAAGUGCAACAUAUUUUGUAAUUCCCUUACAUUUUUAGCUCACCUGAUUCCUCAGGUGAGCUUUUGUGACCGGUCUUUGUCCGUCGUCCGUCCGUUUACAUUUGUUCGUAAACACUCUAGAGGGCACAUCUCUAUUCCGAUCUUCAUGAAACUUGGUCAGAAGCUUUGUCCCAAUGAUAUCUCGGUCGAGUUUGAAACUGGGUCAUGCCGGGUAAAAAACUAGGUCACUUGGUCAAAAAAAAGAAAAACUUUGUAAACACUGUAGAUGUCACAUUUCAUGCCCAAUCUUCAUGUAACUUUGUCAAAAUGUUUGUCUUAAUGAUAUGUUGGUUGAGUUCAAAAGUGGUUCUGGUCCGUUGAAAAACAUGGCCGCCAGUGGGCGGGGCAGUUUUCCUUAUUUGGCUAUAGAGAAACCUUGUUAACACACUAGAAGUCACAAUUUUUGCCCAAUCAUCAUGAAAGUUGGUCAAAACAUUGGUUUUAUUGAUAUCUCGGACGAGUUCGAAAAUUGUCCAGAUCAGUGAAAAAACAUGGCCGCCAGUGGGCAGGGCAUUUUUCUCUAUAUGUACAUGUAUAUAGUGAAAACAUGUGAACACUCUAGAAGUCACAUUUUUGGCCCAAUUUUCAUGACAUGAAUAACAUGGCUGCUGGGGGGGGGGCGGUUUUCUUAUAUUUAUAUAGUAAAAAAUAAAAAAAGCUUGUGAACACUCUAGAAAUAACGUUUUUUGCCCAAUCAUCAUGAAACUUGGUGAAAAGAUUGGUUUUAUAUAUAUUUCAAAUGGUCCGGAUCGGUCAAAAAACGGGGGGGGGGGGGGGGGGGGUUUCCUUACGUGACUCGAGAGAAACUGUGUGAUCGAACACUAUAGAAGUCACAUUUUUUGCCUAAUCAUUGUGAAACUUAGUCAAUAAAUUGGUUUUAUUGAUUUCUCGGACAAGUUGGAAAAUGGCUCAGAUUGGUGAAACACACUUUUUAGCUCACCUGAUUGCUCAGAAGAGGUUUUAUGGUUUGUAAACACUCUAGCAUUCACACUUCUCAAGCAUUCUUUAUGAAAGUUUCUGAAAGAUAUCAGUAAAGUUUGAUAAUGAGCAAAAUCACAUAAUUAAUGCCAUAAUUAUUGCCCUUAUAUUGUCCAAAUUUUCUUUAUAUUAUACAAAAUCCUUGUAAACACUCUAGAGGUCACAAUUUUGUUUCAGAUUUUAUGCAUCUGGCUCAAAAUAUUUAUUUUUGUAAGCAAAGUUUGAUGUUUGGUAAGGGGUUCAACUCAAAAUAAAGGUAACCAGGUCAAAUCUUACAAAAACAAAAACACUCCAUAUGCCAGAGUUUUGGUUCAAUAAUGAUGAAACUUGACCAGGAUGUUUGUCUGUACAAGUUUGAAGUUCGGUAAAGAUUGAAUGAACCGACUCCUCUCAGGUGAGCGAACUAGGGCCAUCUUGGCCCCUCUUGUUUUACAUAUAUGUAGUAACAUAUUUCAUAGGACAUUCAAAUACAUAUUUCAUUGUACAGUGUUUUAGUAUUAAUUAAAAGAUGUAUGUGAUUUAUAAUAGUAAUGAAAGUAAUAUGUUAAUAAUAAUGUUAUUUCUAAAUGCAUGCACAUGUUACUAUCUACUGGUAUACUUUAUAUGUUAUUAUUUCUACUUUGAUCAUGUUGUGUAAUUUCUCAUACAAUUCAAUUAUGAAUAAGUUUAAACUUAGUAAAUAUAAUACUGAAGACACGUAUUCUCAAUUGUGAAGUAUUUUUUAGCAAAACAACAACACUAAUUUCCCAAUUUUAGUCAAAAUGCUGCAUAUUUUCGCAAUCCAAAGUGACCCGGCCCCAUUCCCAAAAUUGUGAAAAAAACACACUGUAUAACAUUUUGGGGCUGCCUGGCUGGUCACUAUUAAGGGAUUGGGCCCUCAUUGGGGUUUUGUAUUUCUUAUAUUGUACUGAACAUUUUCACCAUUAAAAGAUAUCUGCCUUUACCAUACCACUGGCUGAAAUUUGAAACUCGUAAUCAGUUGUGGAUGAAAGAAAGGAAAAAAUGUGGGAGGUACAGGGGUUAAUUACUACUGCUUUGUUUAUACACUACAAUCAGAGAUAAAUCAAUCUGGUGCAUAAACUAGACAGAGGGUUAACUAUUCGGUAUGUGUUUCAUAUAAAUAAUAUACACACAUGUAUAUUCAUAUAGCGAACUGGACCAUUUAUAAAUGAUGUGUGUUUGCUUCCCACAAUGAUGAAGCUAAAACCAUUUUUCAAGUGCACAAUGCAAAUACGAAAAUGCUUUUUUAACAAUCCAUGUAUUAAUCUGAAUAAGUUGUGUACACAUUUGCCUAUACUGGGCCUUACAUUUUGGAGUACUUUUAAUAACAUUUCAAUCAAUUUCUUUCAAUGAUUUUGAUAUUAAAAUGCUAAUAGAAGAAUUUCAUGUUUGUAGAAUAAAAUCUUGUUAAUGGUUUUUAUGUUGUGGCCUUUUCCAAUAAUUAUGUUUUCUUUGUAUAGACUUAAAAUGCUUGCAGUUUUACUGUGCUUUGAUUUAUACCUGCAUCUUGCAAAACUUAUUUCUACCUGUUUUGAUAAGCAAAGGCUUAAAAUAAAAACAGCAGCUUAAAAAAGCGUUUGGAGAUUUCUAGUGAUAUAAAUAUCAAAUGUAGCUUUUGAAUCUGUUAUUGUGUGCUUUAUGGUAUUCAUCUGUAAUAUGGACCCCCAGUGCUUUGAUAGAAACAAUGUAAACUGGUUGCAAGAUUUCAAGCAUUAUGUAAUGUGUUUCUGCAAUACAGGUUUUCAAUGCAAUGUUCUGUUGCAAGAUUUCAAGCAUUAUGUAAUGUGUUUCUGCAGGUUUUCAAUGCAAUGUUCUGAGUCAACUGUGUAACUGAAGGAACCUCGCUCUGGUACAACUAGUCUCAAUGCAUAGCGUCAAGUGUCGUCCCAGAUUAGCCUGUGCAUUUAACACAGGCUAAUCAGGGACAAUACUUUCAGCUUUUUUUCGUUCAACAUAUUGUAAACGAAACAACAGUCUAGGGGGCAAAGUGUCAUUCCUGAUAAGCCUGUGCGGACUGCACAGGCUACUCUGGGAUGAUACUUUACGCACAUGCAUGAAUCCCCAUUUUUCCGAGAGUGUGGUUCAAAUGUAAGUGUGUUGUUGCUUAGGUCACCGCCUGUUUCUGCAGUAGUCUUGCUUCCAAGUUGAUUUUUUUUGUUGUUGCUAGAAUUCAUUCGUCUGUUAGACAGCAGGGCUUUUUUCUUUUCAUGUUUCCAAGGAAACCGUUUUUACCUCAUUUUAUAGUUGAAACUUAGUUUUAUGUUACUCCCAAUUAUUUCGGCGAUGAUAGCUACUAGUAUAUAUGAUUGCGCAAUUGUUAAGAAAGCAAUACCAUUUUGAUUUUAAAAGAUUUUUUUUUGAAGUUGUGCAGGUUUUAUAUUUUAGUACAUGUACAUUCUCAGCUGUGUUACUUUGUUAUUUUAUCAUCCUGCCAAGUUUUGUACUUGCGUUUUGUUUUAUUUGCAUUUUGAACGCGUCCCGUGUUCAUUAUUUCAUUUCAAUUAGUUAUUAAUGGUGUACAGUGCGUACUUAACUAGUAUAUACGUAUAUCCUCACGCUUUCGAGUCAUUUCAAGGCACAAGUGUUGGUAUAAACUUGUGUAGUGCAUAUUGACGUUUGUUCGUUUUGUAUAAAAUAAAUGUGGAACAUA